rnacentral:lncRNA from 15 species
AAAAAUGAAGUUGCUAGAGCUGGGGGACUCCAUCAGUCGCUUCAGGUUUUCUCAGUCCUGUGUGGGGCUGGCAGGUUGCCUGUGUGUGUGCUACGCGGUCUGGACACCAUUCUGGCUGAAGGAGAGGGGACUCUGGACUGAGUGGAAUAACACUAAAAGUGACCAGACCAUUCGCAAAGACGGCCCUGUCUUCAAUGCUUUGGAAGCAGAGAGAGUAUUUGGAGUUCUCUCCUUCCUCAUGGCUGUGAGCACUGGUGCUCUGUGUCUGGUGUUUGCCCUCUGCUGGACAUCUACGACGGUGCGCUCCUAUUCCAACACUCGCUCUCUCCUCAUGGCAGGACAGGCACUCUACCCCACCACACUGCUGCUGCUAACCAUGGCCUGUACAGGUUUCUUCUUCCUCCUCAGUUGGUCUCUUUUCACUUAUCAGCACCGGGAAGAAAUCCGUCAAGACUUCUCCAGCCUCGGCUCCUCCUAUUGGCUAGGGGCAUUAGGGUGGGUUCUGCUGCUGGUGGUGGAGAUGAUAAUCUUUAUAGCUGAACAAGCUGUUGUGCCAGACAUCCUACCAGACCUAGAGAAGGCUGUGGAGUCGUGGCGUAUUUCCUCUAAGGCACGCUCGUUCAGCGAUAGUUAUCACCCACCUUACAGUAACAUGACUCCAUAGAGGUUCAACACCAUGAGUGGAGUGCAGAAAAAAGGACAUGACAGAGAAAAUGAAUGUGAAUGUGUAAGGUACACAUUAGGGCACGCACAGACUCAAUCAGAAACCAGCAAUUCCUUGCUGCUGUAUAGAUCUGUACAACCAGACGGAAUAUUGAUUAACUGUGUUUGGAGUUCAGUGUUAGCUAAAGGAAUUAAGAUUCUGGAAGUCAAAGAGACUGAAGGCUCCGGCUUCCUGAAGAGUGCAUUGUGACGGCCAUUCUCCUGUUUGUUUUCAGUAGCGACUGAUAUAAAAAAACACUAAAGACCAGCAAUGCUGGCAGGGAAGAUGAACUGUUUUCUGACAAAGUGAUGUGCAGGACAUAUAAGUUCUGAAGUUUAUAAAUCUUUGUCCGGGUUUUCCCUUUUUUAUAAGUAGGUGCUGCAAUGUAGUUGAUGAAUGUUUAAAAAGCGUCAUCUUGUGAUGACCAUGUGACACUUUCAGUUCUUAACAAAAGACAAUCUAUCUUUUUAUUUUUUUAUUUUAAAUGUUUUAUUUUAUCUGUUGAAAUGUGAGCUACAGGUUUUGUUAUAAAAUAUGUCCUGUUUGUUAAUGGUGAGCAGUAAAUAACACAAAUGAGCAUACACUUUUUUCAGUUAUUUUAUUACCAAUUAUUUAAUUAUAUGGAUACCAAAAUCUACUGCAUGUAUAUGUUCAACCAAACUAAAUAAAGGUUUACAUCAUUGACUGUGUCUGUCUUAAAAACAAAAGGGUAUUAUCUGAGAAUGGGAGGAAUGAGAGCUCAUAUUUUGGAGCUAAGCCUGAUGGUUCCCUGCUUAGACAGUCGUCCUACAUCAGCCAACUAGGAAUUGCAUGUGUAGUGAAGCAGAGUUUUUGCCAGAGAGUCCUACAUCUGUCUCCUUUUUGAAACACUUACCUCAUGCAUUUCCAGCGUACUGUUCCCAGCUCUGCAGAGCAUUUGGAACACCACACAACAGACUGCUUCCAAAGUCGUU